AAUCCAUAGGUUAAUGAGGCGAACCGGGGGAACUGAAACAUCUAAGUACCCCGAGGAAAAGAAAUCAACCGAGAUUCCCCCAGUAGCGGCGAGCGAACGGGGAGGAGCCCAGAGCCUGAAUCAGCAUGUGUGUUAGUGGAAGCGUCUGGAAAGGCGCGCGAUACAGGGUGACAGCCCCGUACACAAAAGCGCAUGUGCUGUGAGCUCGAUGAGUAGGGCGGGACACGUGGUAUCCUGUCUGAAUAUGGGGGGACCAUCCUCCAAGGCUAAAUACUCCUGACUGACCGAUAGUGAACCAGUACCGUGAGGGAAAGGCGAAAAGAACCCCGGCGAGGGGAGUGAAAAAGAACCUGAAACCGUGUACGUACAAGCAGUGGGAGCACAGGUUUACCUGUGUGACUGCGUACCUUUUGUAUAAUGGGUCAGCGACUUAUAUUCUGUAGCAAGGUUAACCGUAUAGGGGAGCCGGAGGGAAACCGAGUCUUAACCGGGCGUUAAGUUGCAGGGUAUAGACCCGAAACCCGGUGAUCUAGCCAUGGGCAGGUUGAAGGUUGGGUAACACUAACUGGAGGACCGAACCGACUAAUGUUGAAAAAUUAGCGGAUGACCUGUGGCUGGGGGUGAAAGGCCAAUCAAACCGGGAGAUAGCUGGUUCUCCCCGAAAGCUAUUUAGGUAGCGCCUCGUGAAUUCAUCUCCGGGGGUAGAGCACUGUUUCGGCUAGGGGGCCAUCCCGGCUUACCAACCCGAUGCAAACUGCGAAUACCGGAGAAUGUUAUCACGGGAGACACACGGCGGGUGCUAACGUCCGUCGUGAAGAGGGAAACAACCCAGACCGCCAGCUAAGGUCCCAAAGUCAUGGUUAAGUGGGAAACGAUGUGGGAAGGCCCAGACAGCCAGGAUGUUGGCUUAGAAGCAGCCAUCAUUUAAAGAAAGCGUAAUAGCUCACUGGUCGAGUCGGCCUGCGCGGAAGAUGUAACGGGGCUAAACCAUGCACCGAAGCUGCGGCAGCGACACUCAGGUGUUGUUGGGUAGGGGAGCGUUCUGUAAGCCUGCGAAGGUGG
rnacentral:rRNA from 1 species